rnacentral:rRNA from 1 species
UACAGGGGGUGCAAACGUUGCUCGGAAUCAUUGGGCGUAAAGCGCACGUAGGCGGUUCGUUAUGUCGGAUGUGAAAGCCCUUGGCUUAACCGAGGAAGUGCAUCCGAAACUGGCGAGCUAGAGUACUAAAGAGGAUCGCGGAAUUCCCGGUGUAGAGGUGAAAUUCGUAGAUAUCGGGAGGAACACCAGUGGCGAAGGCGAUCACCUGGGGUUGUUCUGACGCUGAGGAGCGAAAGCUAGGGGAGCAAACGGG